rnacentral:rRNA from 1 species
UGCCGUGAGGUGUCGGGUUAAGUCCCAUAACGACGCGUCAACCCUUGUCCUUAGUUACCAGCACGUUAUGGUGGGCACUCUAAGGAGGACCUGACCGGUGGACAAACCGGAGGAAGGUGGGGAUGACGUCAAGUCCAUCAUGGCCCUUACGGCCUGGGCUACACACGUGCUACAAUGGUCGGUACAAAGGGUUGCCAAGCCGCGAGGUGGAGCUAAUCCCAUAAAACCGAUCGUAGUCCGGAUCGCAGUCUGCAACUCGACUGCGUGAAGUCGGAAUCGCUAGUAAUCGUGAAUCAGAAUGUCACGGUGAAUACGUUCCCGGGCCUU